rnacentral:rRNA from 1 species
UACGUAGGGUGCGAGCGUUAAUCGGAAUUACUGGGCGUAAAGCGUGCGCAGGCGGUUGUGCAAGACCGAUGUGAAAUCCCCGGGCUUAACCUGGGAAUGGCAUUGGUGACUGCACGGCUAGAGUGUGUCAGAGGGGGGUGGAAUUCCGCGUGUGAGCAGUGAAAUGCGUAGAGAUGCGGAGGAACACCGAUGGCGAAGGCAGCCCCCUGGGUCGACACUGACGCUCAGGCACGAAAGGCGUGGGGAGCAAACAGG